UCGAACGAUGAAGUGGAGCUUGCUCCACGGAUUAGUGGCGAACGGGUGAGUAACACGUGAAUAACCUGACCUCAAUUUCGGAAUAACCCAGGGAAACCUGGGCUAAUACCGGAUACGUAAACCUGUGGCAUCACAUGGUUUGGAAAGUUUUCGAUUGAGGAUGGAUUCGCGGCCUAUCAGCUUGUUGGUGAGGUAACGGCUCACCAAGGCUACGACGGGUAGCUGGUCUGAGAGGAUGAUCAGCCACACUGGGACUGAGACACGGCCCAGACUCC
rnacentral:rRNA from 1 species